UACGGAGGGUGCGAGCGUUGUCCGGAAUCACUGGGCGUAAAGGGCGCGUAGGCGGCCUGAUAAGUAGGGGGUGAAAUCCUGCGGCUUAACCGCAGGGCUGCCUUCUAAACUGUUAGGCUAGAGCACAGUAGAGGCAGGUGGAAUUCCCGGUGUAGCGGUGGAAUGCGUAGAGAUCGGGAAGAACAUCAGUGGCGAAGGCGGCCUGCUGGGCUGUUGCUGACGCUGAGGCGCGACAGCGUGGGGAGCAAACAGG
rnacentral:rRNA from 1 species